GAUGAAAGAACGCAGCGAACUGCGAUAAGUAAUGUGAAUUGCAGAAUUCAGUGAAUCAUCGAGUCUUUGAACGCACAUUGCGCCCCCUGGCAUUCCGGGGGGCAUGCCUGUCCGAGUGUCAUUGCUGCCCUUCAAGCCCGGCUUGUGUGUUGGGUCGUCGUCCCCCCCGGGGGACGGGCCCGAAAGGCAGCGGCGGCACCGCGUCCGGUCCUCGAGCGUAUGGGGCUUUGUCACCCGCUCGAUUAGGGCCGGCCGGGCGCCAGCCGGCGUCUCCAACCUUCUAUUUUACCAGGUUGACCUCGGAUCAGGUAGGGAUACCCGCUGAACUUAAGCAUAUCAAUAAGCGGAGGA
rnacentral:misc_RNA from 1 species